UUCAACCUCAAAAACUAGCUCAUGAUGGAAGAUUACCCAAGAUUAUAUAAAGAAAUCAAGGAAUCGAAUACCCCUACACGUCCAAGGCUGAAUAUCUAAAGCAUGGAUAAUACAAGACAGGGACCAAUAUCAAAAAUAAUAAAUUAAAUGAGUUGACUCUAAUACAUGAUAAAAAAAUGAAGUUUGGCCUAAGUCAAUCUUGAAAACCUUAAUAGAUAGCUCGUGAGUGAAGGACCCAAGACCAUAUAAGGGUCAGGAAUCCUUUAACCACCGAAGUGGGGGUCCAACAAUUUCUGGGAUUGAUCAUCAAGUGUAGUCAACUUACUCAACAAAGAAGUGAAAGUGUUUUUAAAGUGGCAGUAACAACAGCAACUAAAGAAGAAAUGUGCAUCGUCAAACUUGGUGAACUAUUCUUUUCUCUUGCUGUUGUAAAUUUAUUAGAGUUCCAGUUUGCUUUUCCAACCAAUAUUAAAGAUGUUGAGCAUUCACCACUAGAAAUAGAGGUUUUUCCCACAGCAUUCAAUGGGUAAUUUGUGCUAUGAAACAUGGGCUUUCCACUUAUUUCCCACCGAACUAGCUUAUUGGAAAAACGCAGUGUGGGAAGCAUAUUUUCAUUGGAACACCGGAAAGCUUCCUAAUUUUUACACUACUAUUUUUUGGUUCCCCACUGAUUCAAUCCAAAUAUAUGUGAGUAAUAGGCACUGAACAAUUUUUAGUGGGAAAUUUUAUUGGGAAAAUAGUCAUUUUUGGGUCUACGUAGUGUUAGAAAUUGUCUGAUGAAUCAAAAUGGGCUAAAAAGUUGUGCUACUUUUCAAUUGCCACUAAUUUUGUGAUAAAAAUCUACCUAUAAAAGAGGGUUGACAGCCACUGUAAAAUAUUCAAGCUAGAUGAAUCCUUUGACUUAACGGAGGAUACGUGUAGGCGACCAGUGUCGUAGCCACAUAUAGUGAAGGGUGUUGAAUACAGUUCGUUGAAAAAUUAUACAUAUGUAUAGAAAAAUCAUACGAAGCAUAUAUGUCAAAAAUUAAUUCUCAUACAUAAAUAUUAAAUCUUGAACACUUUUUACAAAAUUCUGAUUUUUUCACUAAGACGAGCUCAACCAGUUUAGGAUUGAUAUGUAGUUGAUUGAUUGAUUGAUUUUAACUAGCUGUGGAAAAAAAUAUUCUGGUCAGCGUAAUACAACUUAAUAAUUAGAAUGGAGCCGUUGAUGCUUUGUUCUGAGGUUGUAUUUAACUAUUUUAGGUUACUCGUAACAGGCCAUGGUUAGUGACAUCAAGUUGGUGUGAACAUAGGGAUAGAAAAUUUUCCCUACUUAGUAGCGUGUCAUGUGUAUUAUUUGUUUACUUUUAAGUUCAGGAGGUGCAGCCAUCACAAGUAAAGAUAAAUUGGAGACUAUAGAUGAGGAGAAUCUUAAGGAAGUGUCAUCCCAUCUUCGUCAAGCAUUUGUUCUGAAUUCUACUUCUGCAAAUGUUCUUGGAAUGGAUUGGAGUAAAAGGUCGGGAAAGUCUGAAGCUCCAAGUUUCGUUGAUGAUUUUGGUGAUCAACCAGCAGGGGAUUCAGAAAGUUUUAUUGUUGUUCAUGGUGCAGGUUAAUACUACUUGAGUGUGUUUAGUCAUUAGCAGUAUUUGUAAAGUUCAUUAGCCAUUGCAAAAAUCUUUGAGUUAUGAAAUGAGUAAACAUAAAUCGAACCAAUUUUGGUGCUCUAGAAGGACGAUCUAGAUUUCAGUUUCAAGUAACCUCGUGACCCUCUGAUGUUGCCCUCAUUACCUCUUGUAAAGGCCGGUUUUGUUGCUACAAGAAUUUCAGUAAGAUCCAGCCCUCACCUUUCCGUUUUCAAGUAAUAUUUUUGUUCCGCCUGACACAUAUUUCAACUCUAUUAUGUAGUUGAUAUUUUGUGUUUAUUCCUUUUCACCGUCUGCUUGUAACUUAGGACUAGCAGUGCCGUUGCCGAAGCCAUUGAAAUAUUUGCCUCUACCCUGUUUUCUUUUUUGCAUUCCUAUGUUCCAUGACCUUUCAUUUAGGUCACGAACAUUACAUGCAAUAGUUCAUGCAUGUGUCUUUAUCCUCCUCUUGUUUUCCACUUAUUUCCAGGAUCUUAUGGAUGCUAAACUUCCAUGCUUAAUUUCUUAUCUGCUUAACCUUAUCUACUACGCUCCUGAGAAAUGUCUAUUUAGAGUGUUCAGGGAAUGACAAGUUUGGUGUUUACUGCACCAAAUGAAGUGAUUAUGACCUAAUUACUUGUUAGACUUCUUCGUCUCCGUGCGAUGAUCUCUUUUGAUGUUUUGCUUUGACUCUCAGGUGAUAUGUGACAUAAUACUUAUUUUUCUUUAUUGCAGGUCACAUCCCUCAAUCUUGAAAUCAUGAGAGCCCUAGCAAGAAGUACUUGUAGCUAUUUCUUUUCCAUGCCAUUAGCCUCUAAGAUUGUCUAGAAAUAGAUCUUAUUUUAAUUAAUGUUAACUAGUAGCAUAAUAUGUAAUAUUUUCACAUUUGCGCUCCAUUUACCUCAUUGGGUCUCACUUUUGGUAGGGUUGGGCCUUGAAAUGAAUUUGGAUGUUUAAGUGGGAUUACAAUGGGUAUGUUGUUGUUCAAGUGCUGAGAAUCUCUCUUGUAGCCCCACGGCUUUAUUGAAUGAUAAGAAAUAGGAUUGGAACAGACAUUGUGAAGGCCAUAGGCAAUCAUCUUAUCAGAUUGGAGGGGUUGUUUUGUUCUGCAGAAGAUGUUAUGAGGGCCUAAAUUGGUUUAGUAUCUGCUUUUUAGUUGCCACAUCACUCUUUGAAGCUAACAUCCUAAUUAAUCAAGUCCUGUUGUUAAUCUCCAUAGUACUUGAUAGCUGUCCAUCCAGUCAUCCCACAAAAGAUUUACAGGUCUUCAGGUACAAGGUUUGUUAGUGAUUCAUCCUAGAUGCAUAUUUUCACCUUGAAGAGCUUACUUGAUUACCCCCCUCAGAGAUUACUUAAUCAUGCUAAGAUCACAAUUUUAUGCCUGUCUCUCAUCAGUGGAUCCCUAACAAAUGUUUUUUGUUGUUGCAGAGGGUAUUCCUUCCAUCGGAAUGUCUCCAUUCUCAUGUGGUUGGUCAACAUGCCAAAGAAUUGUUAGAAGAUGACGAAGGCUGACAUUUCCAUGGUCAUUAAAGUUAUUGAUUCUGGUUUUAUACCUGAAAUCAAACCUACACUCGACUGACAGCGACAAUUGAUGUCAUAUGGAAGAGUUACAUGAUUAAAUAAAUAUAUAGGCAACUUUGAUCAGUGUAUAGCUCAAGAUAAACAUGAACAACUAUCAACUUCCGUGAACGUUGUGGAAAAGGUUGCAAUUGUUCCCAUUUCGGGAAAUAUCUUUGGAAAUUCUUAAAUAGUGUUCAUGGCUUGGCGUACGGUACCUCAGGGUGAUAAAUGUCGUCAGCAUUUACUCUUUCUGCAGAUUCAACACUCACUGCCACCAAAUUUUCCAGAAUGGAAAGUAGUUGCUUCAGUUUGGCUCAGUGGCAAGAACUUCAACUACAAGCUUUAAUCUACAAACAUAUGUUAUCUGGUUUGUUCCUCCUGAACUACUUCAUCAUAUCAAGAAAAGUCUCAUUAAUUCAUCUCCUUAUUAUAAUUUGCCUCUAACAAUUUCAACAAUAUCAUUAUUAUCAACAAGCUUGUAAGUUUUCUAAUUAUUUAUAAAUAUAUCUUUAAUUACAAUAGCCUUUCUAUCGGAAACAACCUCUCUACGUGAUCACAUCGAGGUACUGGUACGAACUACGUACACUCAAUGGGUCCCAGACCCCACUUUGGUGGGAAUACACUAGGUGAUUUAUCAAGGAACAUUUUAUGAAUGAUGUUGAAUUCUUUGAUGUUACUGUGAUUUUAUAGUAAAGAUACAAGGUUGAAGCUCGAGGACUUGGAAGCUGUAGCGCGAAAGGCUGAAAUUCAAGGAUGUGAAGUCUGUAGUGCCGAAAACAAAUUGCAGUUUUUCUUUCCGGAUAUUCUGGCCUUGCACUUUUUCAGUUACUAUGCACAUCUAAAUGGGGCCACUUUUGUACAAUGAAAUUGCACGGGCACUGACCAUCUAGUCUAGUAUAUAAGAGACAAUAAAUUUUUUUGGUCGUCCUCACAACCAAAGAUUUUUGCAUCUUUGACGAAUCAUCUUGGUACACAUGGAUAACCAUUGACUUUUGUCAUUUUUCAAUUUUAUAUUCAUUCCUUUUCAUUAAAUUCA